GGCAAAGAUUCUGUCUUCAGGAAAAACUUGUUGGGCUUCAAUUAACCAGUUCUAUCUAAGGAUAUCUUCAAAACUAUGAAGCCUGCUUCCAACCUGUCUCCUACAGACACCCUUGAAAGAAAUCA